GUUAGCACUGCAGCCUCACAGCAAGAAGGUAUGGGUUCAAACCCUGGUCGUCCCGGGCCUUUCUGUCUGGAGUUUGCAUGUUCUCCCCGUGUGUGCGUAGGUUUUCUCCAGGUACUCCGGUUUUCCCCCCCCA